GACGAACGCUGGCGGCGUGCUUAACACAUGCAAGUCGAACGAAGUGGCGAACGGGUGAGUAAUACGUGGGUAACCUGCCCUCCUUUGUGGGAUAAGCCUUGGAAACGCGGUCUAAUACCCAAUAAAUGGGGAUGUGCUCGCGGCCUAUCAGCUUGUUGGUGGGGUGAUGGCCUACCAAGGGGGUGACGGGUAGCCGGACUGAGAGGGGGCCCGGCAAGACGAGGACUGAGAUACGGCCCAGACUACGACGGGAGGUAGCAGUGGGGGAAAUGGCACAAGGUGCGAAAGCCUGAGGCAGCGACGCCGCGAGGGGGAUGACGGCGUUCAGGUUGUAAACCUCUUUCGAUAUCGCAUGGGUAGUUGGAGAAGAAGCGCCGGCUAACUACGUGCCAGCAGCCGCGGUAAUUC
rnacentral:rRNA from 1 species